rnacentral:rRNA from 1 species
UGGGGAAUAUUGCACAAUGGGCGCAAGCCUGAUGCAGCGACGCCGCGUGAGGGAUGACGGCCUUCGGGUUGUAAACCUCUGUUAGCAGGGAAGAAGAGAGAUUGACGGUACCUGCAGAGAAAGCGCCGGCUAACUACGUGCCAGCAGCCGCGGUAAUACGUAGGGCGCGAGCGUUGUCCGGAAUUAUUGGGCGUAAAGAGCUUGUAGGCGGUUUGUCGCGUCUGCUGUGAAAGGCCGGAGCUUAACUCCGUGUAUUGCAGUGGGUACGGGCAGACUAGAGUGCAGUAGGGGAGACUGGAAUUCCUGGUGUAGCGGUGGAAUGCGCAGAUAUCAGGAGGAACACCGAUGGCGAAGGCAGGUCUCUGGGCUGUAACUGACGCUGAGAAGCGAAAGCAUGGGGAGCGAACAGGAUUAGAUACCCUGGUAGUCCAUGCCGUAAACGUUGGGCACUAGGUGUGGGGAACAUUCCACGUUUUCCGCGCCGUAGCUAACGCAUUAAGUGCCCCGCCUGGGGAGUACGGCCGCAAGGCUA